AACCCUCGCUGUGUGUUAUAUGUGUCACACGGGACUGCCGGUCUUAAGCCGGAGGAAGGUGGGGAUGAUGUCAAGUCAGCAUGGCCUUUAUAUCCUGGGCUACACACACGCUACAAUGGCCAACACAAUAGGUUGCUAAGCCGCGAGGUGGCGCCAAUCCAUAAAGUUGGUCUCAGUUCAGAUUGUAGGCUGCAACCCGCCUGCAUGAAGAUGGAGUUGCUAGUAACCGCAGGUCAGCUAUACUGCGGUGAAUACGUUCCCGGGGCCUU
rnacentral:rRNA from 1 species